UACGUAGGCAGCAAGCGUUGUUCGGAAUUACUGGGCGUAAAGAGUGUGUAGGCGGUGCUCCAAGUCUGGUGUGAAAUCUCCCGGCUUAACUGGGAGGGUGCAUUAGAAACUGGAAUGCUAGAGGAUGGGAGAGGUAAGCGGAAUUCCUGGUGUAGCAGUGAAAUGCGUAGAUAUUGCCAGGAACACCAAUGGCGAAGGCAGCUUGCUGGGCCACUACUGACGCUCAGGCACGAAAGCGUGGGGAGCGAACAGG
rnacentral:rRNA from 1 species